rnacentral:rRNA from 1 species
GUCGCACCUACCGAUUGAAUGGUCCGGUGAAGCCUCGGGAUUGUGGUUUGGCUCCUUUAUUGGGGCUAAGCCGCGAGAACUUGUCCAAACCUUAUCAUUUAGAGGAAGGUG